GGUAUUAAGGAGUUGACGUAUAAGUUCUCGGGUUCCGCGGCAGGCUUGUUUGGAGAUAGCUUUCCUUUCCUUGGGUGGAUCCGUUGAGCGUGGACUCGAUCGAGGGGCAUAACCGAGUAUCAGGUAAGGGCACAGCGAGGGGCAGACCGACGAGAGGCAGGAAGGAUGCGUGAAGGCCAUAUGGACGCGUCUGGUUUUCUUAUUGCUUCCGCUGAUGAUUUUUGUUAGAAUAUGUGGUUUUGUGAUUUUGAGUUGAUGACCUGAGUUUUUAUUUGAAACUUUUGUGACUGUGAUUUAAAAUAGGGCCCGAUACUGUUUUUUUGUAAUA